AGUCGAACGAGAGAGAGGAAGCUUGCUUCCUCAAUCGAGUGGCGAACGGGUGAGUAACGCGUGAGGAACCUGCCUCAAAGAGGGGGACAACAGUUGGAAACGACUGCUAAUACCGCAUAAGCCCACGGGUCGGCAUCGACCAGAGGGAAAAGGAGCAAUCCGCUUUGAGAUGGCCUCGCGUCCGAUUAGCUGGUUGGUGAGGUAAUGGCCCACCAAGGCGACGAUCGGUAGCCGGACUGAGAGGUUGAACGGCCACAUUGGGACUGAGACACGGCCCAGACUCCUACGGGAGGCAGCAGUGGGGAAUAUUGCACAAUGGGGGAAACCCUGAUGCAGCGACGCCGCGUGGAGGAAGAAGGUCUUCGGAUUGUAAACUCCUGUUGUUGAGGAAGAUAAUGACGGUACUCAACAAGGAAGUGACGGCUAACUACGUGCCAGCAGCCGCGGUAAAACGUAGGUCACAAGCGUUGUCCGGAAUUACUGGGUGUAAAGGGAGCGCAGGCGGGAAGACAAGUUGGAAGUGAAAUCUAUGGGCUCAACCCAUAAACUGCUUUCAAAACUGUUUUUCUUGAGUAGUGCAGAGGUAGGCGGAAUUUCCGGUGUAGCGGUGGAAUGCGUAGAUAUCGGGAGGAACACCAGUGGCGAAGGCGGCCUACUGGGCACCAACUGACGCUGAGGCUCGAAAGUGUGGGUAGCAAACAGGAUUAGAUACCC
rnacentral:rRNA from 1 species